GGAUGCGAUCAUACUAUCACUAAUGCACCGAAACCCAUCAGAACUACGAAGUUAAGCGUGUUUGGGCGAGCGUAGUACUUGAUUGGUGACCCCCUCAGAAGUAUUUAAAAGGUAGCUA
rnacentral:rRNA from 1 species